rnacentral:rRNA from 1 species
UACGGGGGGGGCAAGCGUUGUUCGGAAUUACUGGGCGUAAAGGGCUCGUAGGUGGCCAACUAAGUCAGACGUGAAAUCCCUCGGCUUAACCGGGGAACUGCGUCUGAUACUGGAUGGCUUGAGUUUGGGAGAGGGAUGCGGAAUUCCAGGUGUAGCGGUGAAAUGCGCAGAUAUCAGGAGGAACACCGAUGGCGAAGGCAGCUCGCUGGGACGGUACUGACGCUGAGGCGCGAAAGCGUGGGGAGCAAACAGG